UACGGGGGGGGCAAGCGUUGUUCGGAAUUACUGGGCGUAAAGGGCGCGUAGGCGGUUCGCUAAGUUGGAUGUGAAAACUCUGGGCUUAACCCAGAGCCUGCAUCCAAAACUGGCGAACUGGAGUACUGGAGGGGAAAGCGGAAUUCCUGGUGUAGCGGUGAAAUGCGUAGAUAUCAGGAGGAACACCGGUGGCGAAGGCGGCUUUCUGGACAGUAACUGACGCUGAGGCGCGAAAGCUAGGGGAGCAAACAGG
rnacentral:rRNA from 1 species